AUAUUCUGACCUUCUCUCCCACUACAACCUCACAGCUCACCUCUGCUGGCUCCACGGUGUUGCUGGCUUCAACCCAUUCCUUUUCCAAAAUGUUUAAAAUCUGUAAAACCAAAUCUAGUUUAUUUCUCAACUUUUUCUUAGCCUGCAAUAGAACUUGUAUGAUACAAAAUAUAUACUCUUGAUCGAGUGUUUAUUCAAAUCGAAUCGCUUUUACUAGAAACAAAUUGACACCAUGCCCAAGGGAAAGAAAAAAGGAAAGUCAUCAGGACAAAAGGGGCGUAAUGAUUACAUCGUAACAUCUGAUGAAGAUUCGCUCAACGAUAAUGCCAGCAUCAUAAGUCUUGCAUCAGAGGGUACAGUCUUAGAAGAAGGGACAGAAGAAGCCGAAGAACAAAGUCAAAAUGAAAUAUUUGAAGAGAAGCUUAUGAAUGCUAUUGAUGGAUUGACCCAGAAAUCUGCCCAAGCGAGGACUAACUGUUUAGAAUCAGUCGCUACUUUAUUUACCACAAAAUUUAUCCCAGAGUUUGUCAUUAACAGGAAACUUACAUUAACCGAUUCUAUAGAAAGAUGUCUGAAAAAAGGAAAGGGUCUGGAACAGGCUGCAGCAGCUCAGUUGGCAACUUUGCUUUGUGUCCAACUCGGCUCGGGUGACAUGACCGACGAUGUGUGUAAAGCAAUUUCACCACUUUUGACUUUUAUCGUUAAUGACCAUUCGAUGAGCGUCCCAGCAAGGUCUAAGUGUUGUUGGGCUCUGGGUUUACUUUCUUUUCUGGCCAAUACUGAGGAUAUCGGUGACACUAUGCAAACACUUGAAAAUGUCUUUUCCGCUUCCUAUCACAAAGGUGACGGUUCCGUCCCAUCCGUUUCCCAAGACCAUGCCAUUCUGCACAAUGCAGCUCUUUCAUCUUGGAGCCUUUUGUUAACUGUCAUUGAAUUGGACUCUGCAAUUAAUAUCCCGACUAUAAGACAACUUUCAGAACUCUUAGACUCGCCUCAUUUGGAUGUACGAAUGGCUGCGGGGGAAAGCAUAGCUCUCCUUCUCGAACAACAAAGGCAAUCAGCUGAAGAAGAGUGGAUAUGGGAGGAAAAUGAUGAACUUUUAGAAAAAUUGAGACAGUUGGCUACAGAUUCUCAUAAAUAUCGAGCCAAAAAAGACAGAAAGACUCAAAGAUCGAGUUUUCGAGAUAUAUUAAGAUAUGUGGAGUACGAUGAAUUCCCUAACAUACAAGUCAGAUUUGGCCAAGAAGCGCUGGCGCUUGAUUCUUGGUGUAAAAAGAAACAGUACGAUGCUUUUUGCCAGGUUUUGGGCUCAGGGAUGAAUUUACAUUUAACGGAAAACGAUUUGUUGAGAGACGUACUGGAACUUGGUGAGAAGGUUUCCCAUUUGAGCAUGUCUUCAAACAAACAGUCAAAGCUUGCAAGGCAUUUAAUGAAUGCAGCGAAUUUCAAAGCGAGAAGUAUAUCAAGAGCGAAAAAUAGAGACAAAAGCUUUAUCGCAAGAUCGUCAUACUACUAACAAAACAAAUUAUCCAUUGUCAUAGAUGUGCAGAUUUAAAAAUUAUAAACUGAGUUGGAAUUAUACGAACUAAACUAAAAAAUCUGAUUCGCACGAACAAAAACAAAACAAAAUUACUCCUUAAGGCUUGAAGUCUGGAGUGGUGAACUUGGUCAUUUCAAAACAUUCUGGACUGCUUCAACCAAUCAAAAUUAAUGGAAUCAGCAACAUAAUGUUAAUUUUAACCAAAAAGCUGACUUGGUUAAAAAAUAGUUGUUCAAUGUGACAUAAAUUCAUGCGAUGAUUAAAAGUUAAUUAAAACAAAUUUAAUUU
rnacentral:misc_RNA from 1 species